GCCUACGGGGGGCAGCAGUCGGGAAUAUUGCGCAAUGGAGGAAACUCUGACGCAGUGACGCCGCGUAUAGGAAGAAGGUCUUCGGAUUGUAAACUAUUGUCGUUAGGGAAGAGAAAGGACAGUACCUAAGGAGGAAGCCCCGGCUAACUACGUGCCAGCAGCCGCGGUAAUACGUAGGGGGCAAGCGUUAUCCGGAUUUACUGGGUGUAAAGGGGGCGCAGACGGCAAUGCAAGCCAGGAGUGAAAGCCCGGGGCCCAACCCCGGGACUGCUCUUGGAACUGCAUGGCUGGAGUACAGGAGGGGG
rnacentral:rRNA from 1 species